AAAAUGUAAAAAGCCUUCAUUUUAAAAGUCUGAGUGAGCAUACUCAUUCAUUUUCAAAAAAAAGAAAAAGAGAUAAACCUGAUCCAAAAGAGAUACAAGGAUAAUUGGACUCAGCAGCAACAGCAGCAGCAUAACACAAUAUGAAGCUGCUGUGGUCAAGAAUAGCGUGCAGCAACUUCAUAAUAAUGUCCUGAGAGUGAAUGUAAAGUCUAAACAUGGAAUACUCUAAAGAAAAAAUCUAUUUCUUGGAUCUCACUAUUUAUAAAGAUGAUGACAAUGGUUUACAUACCACUUUAUUUCGCAAAAAAACAGAAAUUCUCUACUUCAUUAUCAUUCCUUCCACCCUCCACAUCAAAAAAAAGAAUAUCCCUUAUGGACAGUUUCAAAGAGGCAGGCGGAUUUGUGACUCUGACUCUGACUUUGAGAAGCAGGCCAAAAGCCUAUCAGAGCGACUCAAGGAAAGGUCUUAUAAGCUACAUAUUAUUUCCACUGCUUUAGAAAAAGUCUGAUAUAUAAACCGCAGCAAUCUAUUGCGCAAGUCUGACAAACAAGAGAGGAAUUCCUCCAAUUAAUUUUUUGUCACGCGUUGUAACACUAAAUCUCAGAAAAUUAAACAUACCAUUCAUUCUAAUUGGGCUAUCUUAAAAAGUGACCCUAAUCUGAGAGUUUUUCCCAGAACCACCAGUUAUAUCCUACAAACAAGCUUCUACUAUAAAAGAAAAAUUGGUUACAGUUAUCUACCAGCACAUAAAGAGGACAUGUGGUUAAAGAGGCCCUCGGGUACUUUCAAGUUUUAUUAACACAUGCAAGCACUGUUCAAAUGUGAUUCAAACAAAGACAUUUACUGAUCUGAAAACAGGACAAAAGUACAAUCAGAGAGACAUUAUAAACUGUAACACUACUUUUGUUGUAUACCGUCUCACAUGCCCAUGUAACUGUUUUUGUAUAGGACGCACCAAAAGAUGCCUUAAGGACAGACUUUCAGAACACAAAUAUGUGAUCAGAACCCAGAAUGUGGACUACCCCAUGGCCAAACACUUCAAAGAGGAUAUUUCUUGAGUACUUGAAGAGGCGUGCCAUUUUAAACAUGGCUUCUCAUUGUGAUCCAUUUCCUGUCAAACACCUGCAUUCAUAAUCAGGAUUGGGUGACACCCCCUGCCAAGUUUAUAAAAUGUUUGCCUGUUGUUUGUUCACCCCUGUACCCUGAUGAAGACCUUUAUGAUCGAAACCGGUCGUUUUUUAAAUUGUAAGUAGCCAUGUUGAAUAAAGGCUUUUUCACUUAA